AACAAAAAGGGGAACUUUUAUAUAUAUUUGGGGAAAAAAAUUAUAAUUACGGCUACCUCGUAAAACAUGCAAGGGAAAAAAGAGAGGAAAUUUCUUCCUCUUCCUCGUAAAGCACCCAGCGCCUCUCUCUCUCUCCCUAUUUCUCGAUCUCGCCCUCUCCCUCGCUUAGCCGACCGCGUCUGACCACCGGAGAAGUCGCCGCCUCUCGCCCGUACCAAGCCGUCGACGUCCGCCGCUCUUCGCGCCGAACGACUCCGUCGCACAUCGAGCCUCCAUAUCUGUGAAGCCGCCGCCGGUCGCACGCGCCGGGUCCGUUCACCUGACAUUUCCACCGCCGCGUUGGACUUCCAUAUCUCAGCAGCCGCUUCGUCUACCGCAGCUGUCCACGUCGUCCACCAGUCACUAGUCACGGUUCCUUCUUCCGGUCGCUGGAUCUCGACUUUUAGCUGUUAGAUCGAGGAUUUUGAGCUUUGUGAACGGCUGUCCGACGAUAAUUGUGAGUUUUGGUAAAGGAAAUGAUAGGACGAUGAAUUACAAGAAGAAUCUGUGACUAGGCCUUGGGACUUGAUAUCGCUUUCACAUAUGUUUUUCUCAUAUUUUCUUAUUUUAGUUUAAGAGUCAAAUAUUUAAAUUCUUUGAUUGUUUUAUUCGGUUACUUAUUUAAUUUAUUUUUUAAUUGGAAUUAGGGGUACUUGGAAUGGGAAAUUUGGACCAAUGACCUAAUAUCUGUGCCUAUAAUGCCAAAUGACUCGAUUUUUUAAAAAA